rnacentral:rRNA from 1 species
UACUACAGUGUCCCACCCUGAACGUGCCCCAUCUGAUCUAGGAGGCUAAGCAGAGUCAGGCCUGGUUUGUAUUUGGUUGGGAGUAAGGAAAUAUCAGAGGACUUGUAGAAU